rnacentral:rRNA from 1 species
GUGGGGCUAAUCAGGCAGGCUCGGAACGGCAUCCCUCCGCGCCUUGCCACGUAGUUGGAAUGGUUGUGCAAUCGAUGUAGGUAACUGCGCUAGGUGCACCUCUCCAUAUUAGGAGGUGCAUAACAUGUGGUGAACAGUAGGCGUAAUUACCGUCAAUGUAGACCUCUAAGUACUAGCACCUAAAUUGAACGGGGCAGUUCACUUAUGGCCUCUUGUAUUGGAUGGAGUACGGCUCACUAGGUGGCGAUGCUAGCCACCGAUAGGUGAUCCGACCGGAUGACUAUCGCCAUUGGAACACAGAACAGUAGGAAUCUUCGGCAAUGGGGGCAACCCUGACCAGCAACGCCCGUGAGUGAAAAGGUUUUCGGAUCGUAAAGCUCUGUUGUUAAGAAAACGGUAAUGGAGUGGAAAAUCCAUUACGUGACGGUAACUAACCAAAGGGACGGCUAACUACUGCCACAGCCGCGGUAAUACUAGGUCUCGAGCGUUGUCCGGAUUUAUUGGGCGUAAAGCGACGCAGGCGGUUAUUUAAUCUGAAGUUAAAGGCCGUGCUCACCAUGGUUCGCUUUGGAAACUGGAUAACUUGAGUGCAAAGGGAGAGUGGAUUCCAUGUGUAGCGGUGAAAUGCGUACAUAUUGGAGGAACACCGGUGGCGAAAGCGGCUCUCUGGUCUGUAACUGACGCUGAGGCUCGAAAGCGUGGGGAGCAAACAGGAUUAAUACCCUGGUAGUCCACGCCGUAAACGAUGAGUGCUAGGUGUUAGGCCCUUUCCGGGGCUUAUGCCGCACUAACCAUUAACACUCCCCUGGGAGUACACCCGGUUGAAACUCAAAGGAAUUGACGGGGCCC